CAUAAUCCUGACUGAACAGCAUUUCACAACCACGCCAGGAGGCAGGCUCUUUUUUGAGCACUGAGGUGGCUAUGAAAGCAGCCUUUGAAUUUCAAAGCACUGCAGCCCAUCUAUUUGGAGCUCGCGUCCGUGACAGUCGCGGUAUUUUCUGGCACGGCACACUGCGCAUGGGGCAGCAGUGCAGAUGUGCACAUUCUGUGCCUCACCUUACGUGUUCGUAAGAGCACUUGUACUCCAGUACUCUUGCCUGGAAAAGCCCAUGGACGGAGGAGCCUGGUAGGCUACAGUCCAAGGGGUCGCUAAGAGUCGGAGACGACUGAGCCACUUCACUUUCACUUUUCACUUUCAUGCACUGAAGAAGGAAAUGGCAACCCAUUCCAGUGUUCUUGCCUGGAGAGCCCCAGGGAUGGGGUCGCACAGAGUCGGAUACGACUGAAGAGACUUAGCAGCAGCAGCAAGAGCACUUGUAGUGCGCCGAGGCGUGAGGGCAAAGGUGCCCUUGACCAACGAGUUCAAGAUAUCCACGGCCUUGGGAGAGAUACCUGUGCCGGGAAGCAUCUGCUUCAGCACCUUAUACGCGUCGAUAUAUUAGCUCUACGUGUGGCUGCGCUUAAUUUUUCGCUUAUCCUAAGCCUCACCAGACAGCGUUCUCGGAGCGGUUCUUGGGCUGCGCCUCUGGAAUGGAAUCAGGCGGAGCCAGCCCUGCAGCGGGCGGCGGCGAUGACUAUUUAUUAUCUCCAUAUUCAAAUUAGGGCUCCAAUAUCCUAGAAUCGGAUUGGACGGUCGGUCCCGCUCGGCCUGGUUACAAAGAAUUUAUGUAAAUAGUAGAUGCCAGCUCUUCUUUCCUAUUGGACAAUAGGUCAACCAAUCCGAAGGCCAUGAGUGGAGUCAGGUUCAGUUCAGUUCAGUUCGGUUCAGUUGUGUCUGACUGUGUGCGACCCGAUGGGCUGCAGCUAGCCAGGCCUUCCGAGUCAGGUUGCGGAUUUCUGUUCAAACCCUUUGUUGUAACUGGAGCUGGGUCUUUGUUUAGUUACCAUGUCUGUACCGGACAAAAAAAUGAAGAAGGUAAUAAAAACCCGCUUUAAUCCCGCGUCUCCGAUUUUCCUGGAUAGGAGACAAAACACAAGGGGACAUUUUUGACACGGUCAGUACCCAGAAAGAGGGCAGCCAUCUGCAAUCUAGAAGAGGUCCUCACCAGAACCCACCCACACUGGCACCCUGAUCUCUAUUCCCAGCUUCCAGAAUUGCGUGCUGCAGGAAAGGAGGUGGUGGAAAUCCCAGGAUGUGCUGUGGAGCUUUGCACAGAACUGGUAAACUUCAUGCAAUGCUUGCGGGAUUGCGAAGAAGUAAAAGACGGCUUAGACAGCCUUUGUCCUGCUGCUCAGCUUCCAGCGGACACCCUGCGGACAAAAACCAUCCUGCUACCACCACGGGAUGCACCGCGCAGCACGGAGUUGGGGAUCCCAGUCUCCCGUGCCUUUCCCACUGCAGCGCUGGCAUCCGGGGCCCAUCGAACUGCCCGCCCACCUAGGACGUGAGAUAGGCCGAGCUGCUGGCCCGCAUUGUUUGCAAGAUGACUGGGGUCGCUUCCUGAAGUCUUUUCCAAACGCCCGUGUUGGCCAAGCGACUUCUGUGCCCAUUUUAUUUCAGCAAAUUUGAAGAGUAGGGCUGCAGUCUAAUCCCAGAGCCAGGUGUGAGUGAAGGACAGAAAUCACAGCUGCAGAAGUGAGAGAGGACCGGGAAAUGGGAUCUGAAGCAGCAACGGACGGACAGCGCCCAUGCAGACACACAGAGGCAGGACAUGCUCGCCCACUGACUUCUGAGCUGAGACAGUCACAUCCGGGUGGACCAUGGGGGUGUAGAAGGCGUCAGAGGCAAGGCUGGGGUCAGUGGGAUGGAAAGCACCCAGUCCCCCUCCCCACAACCCGUGCGAAGCUGCGGUUCAAGGACGGUUCUGAUUGUUCUUCCAGGAGAACGCCACCCCCUCCCCCAUAUAUACACAGUGUUUUUCUCCUACCUCUUAUCUAACUAUGUUAAUUUCAAGGUCGUAAGGUGUGUUGAUGGAGAAGGUAAUGGCAAC